rnacentral:rRNA from 1 species
GUGGGGAAUCUUGCGCAAUGGGCGAAAGCCUGACGCAGCCAUGCCGCGUGAAUGAUGAAGGUCUUAGGAUUGUAAAAUUCUUUCACCGGGGACGAUAAUGACGGUACCCGGAGAAGAAGCCCCGGCUAACUUCGUUCCAGCAGCCGCGGUCAUACGACGGGGGCUAGCGUUGCUCGGAAUUACUGGGCGUAAAGGGCGCGUAGGCGGAUCGUUAAGUCAGGGGUGAAAUCCCAGAGCUCAACUCUGGAACUGCCCUUGAUACUGGCGAUCUUGAGUGUGAGAGAGGUAUGUGGAACUCCGAGUGUAGAGGUGAAAUUCGUAGAUAUUCGGAAGAACACCAGUGGCGAAGGCGACAUACUGGCUCAUUACUGACGCUGAGGCGCGAAAGCGUGGGGAGCAAACAGGAUUAGAUACCCUAGUAGUCC